GUUUUAAAUACUGUUUUCUCAAAACAGACCAUUUCGUGCUUUGAGAUAAGACGGCCAAGACCAAUUUGAUCAGUUAAUGUGUUUUUUAUGCAUAGUGCUUCAGCAGUUGACUUAUAUAGGCCUAGAGCUCAGCGGAAACAUAUAAAUUAUAGCAUCUGACCAAUGAGAAUUUCGCGUCACGAUUUGAGACGCAGAUAUUCAAAUUCAUUAGUCAUCGAUGCAGGCUCUCAAUUCAGCUUGAGAGCCUGUUCGCAGGCUACACAGUGGAGGAGUACCUAGUUUUAUUUCAUAGAUCAGUGCAAUGAAUUAAUAACUACAAGUUUUAGACAUAUCGUGGUUCUCCUGUCAUGAAAUCCUAGUAGAUAAAUUUAAUUUUUUUAACAAUCAGCAUUUUUAAUUUUUCGUCAAUCCGCAUCUGCCAACGUAACUUCUUCGGAAUUUGUCAUCCCCACAGUUCCAUCUUCCAGAGCUUCAUCCUCUUUCACCUCAAUUUACAUAAUUCCAAAUCGUGUCAGAAUUAUUGGUUACAUUGCAUGUCAUGCCCAGUGAAGGUACGUUUACAC